GAAUAAAUCAUCAUUUUUAUUAUUUCUUAUGAACAAGCUAUUUCCCACAGAACAGCAUUGUAAGUAUUAAUUUUAGAAUUAGUGGAAACCAUAAGUAAAGAUCAAUUUUUUAAAGUGAUAAUUCCUCAGAAAUGUAUGUCUUCAGGUCAUAGAAGAUUACCUAUAAGCAAUUGGUCUUGGACAAACAUAAGUUUGUCUUGAAGUUUUAAAGAGCUCUUUUGCCCUGUGAGAAUGACUUAAUAUGAAUAAAAUAGAUUCCUCUGGGUGGAUUGAAAAUAGGUACAUCUCUACUAUGGAAUUCUAAUAAUCUUUUUAUUCACUUAAAAAAUUACAUACAAUAAAAUUAUCAGUAUUCUUUUGAACUUGCUACUUUCUCAAAAUUCAGUUAUCCCAAUAACUUUCAAAGUCUUAAGUUUAAUGAAUUUACAAAGCCUCUUCUUUCAAUACAUUUCCUAACACUUUCUUUUUAUAUGUCUUAUUUUGAAAUAAUAGUCUGUGGACUACUUUAUAAAACAGAGUUUUAUUUCUAUUGGUUGUCUCAAGUCACUUUGCAUAAUGGCGGUUGUAUAAUGAAUGGGGGCAAGAGUGAUAGGCAGUUGUAUCAUAAAUCACUAGCUUGUUGAAGCUCAGGUCCUUUAAAGCAUGCAAGAGAGAACCACCAAUUAUCCAUCUCUCAAGCUGGAUAAAAGCUACACAAACACACUGGAUGGAAACAGACAACAACCAAAUCAGUAUGGCUUUGUUAACUGCUCUGGUGUUAAAUUAGCUCUCUCUCUCUUUUUUUAAAGAUUUUACUAUACUUAGCCCUCUC
rnacentral:lncRNA from 1 species